rnacentral:rRNA from 1 species
GGCUCAGGACCAUUGCUGGCGGCGUGCCUAAUACAUGCAAGUCGAACGCACUGACGUCGACAGAAGGUGCUUGCACUGGAAGUUGAUUGACGUGAGUGGCGGACGGGUGAGUAACACGUGGGUAACCUGCCCUUAAGCGGGGGAUAACAUUUGGAAACAGAUGCUAAUACCGCAUAAAAGUUGAGAUCACAUGGUCUUAAUUUGAAAGACGGCCUUUGGCUGUCACUUAAGGAUGGACCCGCGGCGUAUUAGCUAGUUGGUGAGAUAAUAGCCCACCAAGGCGAUGAUACGUAGCCGACCUGAGAGGGUAAUCGGCCACAUUGGGACUGAGACACGGCCCAAACUCCUACGGGAGGCAGCAGUAGGGAAUCUUCCACAAUGGACGAAAGUCUGAUGGAGCAACGCCGCGUGAGUGAAGAAGGUUUUCGGAUCGUAAAACUCUGUUGUUGGAGAAGAACAGGGACUAGAGUAACUGUUAGUCCUUUGACGGUAUCCAACCAGAAAGCCACGGCUAACUACGUGCCAGCAGCCGCGGUAAUACGUAGGUGGCAAGCGUUGUCCGGAUUUAUUGGGCGUAAAGCGAGCGCAGGCGGUUUCUUAAGUCUGAUGUGAAAGCCUUCGGCUUAACCGAAGAAGUGCAUCAGAUACUGGGAAACUUGAGUGCAGAAGAGGAAAGUGGAACUCCAUGUGUAGCGGUGAAAUGCGUAGAUAUAUGGAAGAACACCAGUGGCGAAGGCGGCUUUCUGGUCUGUAACUGACGCUGAGGCUCGAAAGUAUGGGGAGCGAACAGGAUUAGAUACCCUGGUAGUCCAUACCGUAAACGAUGAAUGCUAAGUGUUGGAGGGUUUCUGCCCUUCAGUGCUGCAGCUAACGCAUUAAGCAUUCCGCCUGGGGAGUACGACCGCAAGGUUGAAACUCAAAGGAAUUGACGGGGGCCCGCACAAGCGGUGGAGCAUGUGGUUUAAUUCGAAGCAACGCGAAGAACCUUACCAGGUCUUGACAUCUAGCGCCAAUCCUAGAGAUAGGACGUUCCCUUCGGGGACGCUAAGACAGGUGGUGCAUGGUUGUCGUCAGCUCGUGUCGUGAGAUGUUGGGUUAAGUCCCGCAACGAGCGCAACCCUUAUGAUUAGUUGCCAGCAUUUAGUUGGGCACUCUAAUCAGACUGCCGGUGACAAACCGGAGGAAGGUGGGGA